GGGGAUUCCCGCCAGAACCCGAUCCCAUAGACCGGGUCACAGGACUCAGAUGUCCGCGUCCGUCGGCGCCCCCACAUCCACAGACCGCAAAGAGCUCGGGAAGGAAGGGUUCGUGCGCCAAGUCUCGGGCUCCUAAAUGGCUUAUGGUGGGCGCGCGCCCGGACUACUCGUCCCGUGCACCCCUUUCCCUCGUCCGCGCCCCCGAGGGGAGGCAGGUUGGUGGGCGGGCAGAAGCGCACCUGGGUCCGUCCUCUCGAGGGCUGCUCGUUCGCGCACGCGUGCGCAGAAGGGCAGGAGGGGGGCGAGGCGCCGCUCUGACACCAGGUGCCGCUCGGCCCGACGCCCUCCCCCCCACCCCCGGCUCCGGGAGCGCGCGCAGGCAACCUCGCUCGCCAGCCCCGGGGCCCCGCCGGGCGGUGCGCGCGCAGCACCCCGGGAAGGUGGGAAGCGGCGCUCGCAGAUGCGCGCGCAGGCACCCGUCAGGGGAGGGGAAAGUGUGGGGCCUCCGCCAUCUUGUCUCCCUCUCCUUACCUGCGUCCUCGGGGGCGUGCUCACCACCCCCCCUCCCGCCGAGGAGGGGGGAGGGCCCCCUCUUGGUCGCCGCCUUCACCACUUUAAAUUCCCCUAAGGGCCGUAACACGAGCCACCCCGAUGCUCCCACCGCUUCCAGUCACGCCGCGAAGAGGUGCUUGGUGAGUUGAAGAAAAAGGAGACGCUACUCCCAGCGACCCCGCCGCCGCCUCCGCUGCUCCCGAGGCCUCACCAAAAUGGCCGCCGCCGUCUCGGCCGCCACCGCCACUAGCACCACCACUACCACCACCACCAAGGCUCGUUAUCGCUACCGCCAGAGCGGCCCGUCUUCUCGCGAUACACAGUAACUGGAGGCUGAAGGGGCGGGUAGGCUCGCGUGCUAGCGUAGGACUGUGCGGCGCAAAGCAAGGUGGGAGUUGUAGUUCGCUCCGAGGCUCCAUGCUGGCCCAGCACGCUUCAAUAGGUCUGAAACUCGUGCUGCAUUGCAGCUGCCCACUGGGACCACCCUUUGGAUUUCGGAGUUUUUGUUCUUACAUAUCACCCAGUGAAAUGAAACAAAUGAGUAGAAGAGCUUAGACCUACUGAUUCCUACAGCAGUUACUUUUUGUUUUUGAAAGGUGAGGUCUAACAAUGUAGCCUUGGCUGACAUGGACUCGCUAUGUAGAUCAAGCUAACCUUAAACUUACAAAGUUGCUCCUGCGUCUGCCUGGAAUGAACGUAUGCACCACCACUACCAGCUGCGGUUGACUUUGUAACACCGGUUUUCCCAAGAACUCUCAAAUACAAGUACCAUAGGUUUGCAGUCUUUUACAUUUAAGAACUAUUUUGAGAGGUUGAGAACAUAGCUCAGUGAUUAAGAAUAUUGGCUGCUUCCACUUUGAGAGGACAUUCUAUCUCCACACUAAAGAAGCUCCUAACAGUUAUUCCAGUUCCAAGGAAUCCGACACCCUCUUCUGGCCUCAGAGAGCAAUACACAAACACGGUGCACAGACAUACACGCAAGUAAAACUCCCAUUCAAGUCAAAUAAAAAUCCUUAAGGAAAAAAAGGCUGGGUGGUGGUGGCUCAUGGCUUUUAAUCCCAAUAGAGGCUGACGAAUCUCUGACUUCAGAGCCAUCCUGGUCUAUGAAGCUAGCUCUAGGACAACCAAAGCUACAGAGAAAAAUUCCUGUGUCUAGGGGGGAAAAAAUCUCUUAGAGAAUCUGAUACUCCCUUCCGAUUUUAAGGAUGCAUUUAUUAUCUACAACGGUUCCAAGGAAGAUUUUGAGCCAUUGGUUACAUAACAAGACCCUGCCCCAAAACAUAACUAAUAAUUAAGAAAACAGGAUAAAAAUAAAUCAGCGAUGGACAGAGGAGAAGCUAUUGAGGGGAAAUGGAAGUUGAAUAGAGACUGGAAGAAAGAUUCUUUACAGCUAGGUAUGGUAGCAUAAAUGCACAAUCCCAAUUUACUGGUUGAGGCCAACCUGUGCUGUUGCAUAAGUCAAUACAAACAACCACACAGAGCACACACACACUAAUAUUCUAAAGUUCAAGAUUAUCCUGUCUAAAAAAAAGGAUAUGCAUAUAAUCUUAUAGUAACUAUGUGUUGCUUUUUUUCACUUUAGUACUUUAAAGGUGUGUGUGUGUGUUUAAAUAAUUUACAGAGGCAGAGCUGGAGAGAUGUUUUAAGUGGUUAAGAGCACUGGCUGCUCUUCUAGAGAACACAGGGUUUGAUUCUCAGCACCCACAUGGAAGCUUUUAACAGUUUCUAACUUUAGUCUUAAGGGAAUUGAAACCUUCUAAUACAUAGACAUACAUUCAGGCAAACACUUAUAAAAAUAAAUUCUAAAAUUACAGAGGUAAUAAAUAUUUGCUUUUGUAAAAAUAAAUGUAGUAUGAAUUAUCAGUAAAAGGAUUAUCUGC
ensembl:antisense 1700008J07Rik RIKEN cDNA 1700008J07 gene